GACGAACGCUGGCGGCGUGCUUAACACAUGCAAGUCGAACGGUAAGGCCCUUCGGGGUACACGAGUGGCGAACGGGUGAGUAACACGUGGGUGAUCUGCCCUGCACUUCGGGAUAAGCCUGGGAAACUGGGUCUAAUACCGGAUAGGACUCCUGGCUUCAUGGUUGGGGGUGGAAAGCUUUUGCGGUGUGGGAUGGGCCCGCGGCCUAUCAGCUUGUUGGUGGGGUAAUGGCCUACCAAGGCGACGACGGGUAGCCGGCCUGAGUGGGUGACCGGUCACACUGGGACUGAGAUACGGCCCAGACUCCUACGGGAGGCAGCAGUGGGGAAUAGUGCACAAUGGGCGCAAGCCUGAUGCAGCGACGCCGCGUGAGGGAUGACGGCCUUCGGGUUGUAAACCUCUUUCAGCUAUGACGAAGCGCAAGUGACGGUAGUAGCAGAAGAAGGACCGGCCAACUACGUGCCAGCAGCCGCGGUAA
rnacentral:rRNA from 1 species